UAUAAACAUGGCACGCCCAUUCCAAGAAGUGAGGAAAAUUCUCUACAUGCGCAAAUCGGAUGUUGCAUGGUUGUCUAGUGAAAUGUAAGAUGUGUCUGAGGUAAAUUGUGGAAAUAGUGAUAGCAAAUGUGAAAUAAAUGAUCUCCCCUGGGGAAUGAUUCUCAUUGCAAAAUUAAGCGAUCCCAGCAAUGAUUGUAGGUCUUUUUUAGUG